UUCAGGAAUAUCUCCGUAAAGACGGAGUCAUUGCGAAACCGCAUCGAGCUGUAGAAACGCUGUAAUAAAUAUUCAAGGCGCUGGUUCUCCACAGAAAAAAAGUGGAGCGCAUCAAGCCUGCGCGCUGUUUACAAACGAUCAGUCACGAGGAGAUACAACCUUUUCAAUUGAGCAGAAGUACUUUUUAAAGUUCAGUUAGUAAUUACAUUUAUCAAGGGGCUUCAUUUAAAGCUACAAAAAGGAUAGAAAUAAAAUAAUUAAUAAAAAAUUCAACGCAAGUCUGACGUCCCCCAGCUGGUGGGGGGGCUGAUGACGUCAUCGAUUGCGUUUCACUCCAAUAGUAUCUGUCUGCGUCCUGCCAGACGGAGGCGUAACUUGUAGUCGGAGGAGGCGUAACUUGUAGUCGGAGGCGUGUCUAGUACUUUUCUAAAUCGCGGAAGUGAUCUGUAUGUAGCAGUGGUGCGCGGGUACAUAAAUGACCGCAACUCGGACAUCAAAUAUUAGGCCUUAUAUAAAAAUAAUGCACCCGACCCGCUCAUUUAAAAAUAUGCUCUUGAUUAGCUUAAUCAUAGCCUUAGUUGAAACUGACAUCCCUGAGUCAUAUGCAUGAAAAGAAGCCUAUUACAAUUUUACAAUGACACGUAAUGGAUAUAGCAGUUUAACGUGGGGAAGCUGCUUAAAUUUAGCCUACUUAAUCCCUUUAACAAAGAGACUGCAGAUUAAUAAUUCAAAGAAUUAAAGACAGCAGAUUAAUAAUUCAAAUAAUUUUAUUCAAUACAUUAUGUUCAUGUUAUUGAUCGUAUGCUGCAUGUUUUCAAGGUCCUGCAUGAGAUAGAAAACAAUGAAUUAAAAUCCAUAUUACUGAUAGAAACAAGACAAGAACAAUGUCACUAACAGGAGGAUAGUUAUGAGAAAGCCUUCAUAUUAUAGCGUUCACAUUACAAGCCCUCAUUUUAUAUAUAUUUGCCGGUCUUCAAUACAUGGAUUUCUCAUACGUCAUCACUGUUGCACUGUGCAAACUCACGGCAGAAAGAAGCUAGCCUGUACAGUAUAGAGUAUUUUGUGAUUGUUCAGUGUGCAUCUCAAACGUGUGCAUCGAACUAACUUCACAGAGGUGGCGAAAGCUGGGGUUUCUUCCAACGUUAAAACAGUAGGCCUAAGCGUUCGAACAUUUCGUAAAAAAUGUUAAACAGUAUCACAACCACAAGUAGUCUGCCCUAGUUCUAGAGUUCAUUAAGCUUGUAAAAACAAAAAAAAUCAUUCUUGUUAAUCCACUUCUUUUUUUCUUACCGACAUGAAUAUCUGAAGAUCCGACUUCAAGGAAAAUCUCGUGUGAACUGUCGUUAACAAGGCUUUUUUUUUAUCGCGAAAAGAGAAGAUCUUGCGUGGACGGCGAUUUAGAAAAGUACAAGUUACGCCUCCUAGUACAAGUUACGCCUCCUACUACAAGUUACGCCCACUACUAGUUACGCCUCCGUCUUGCAGGACGCAGACAGACCCUACUCUUUUGCUGCGUUCGAGUAUUCUCUGCGAACCGACACGGAUCUCGGAUCUGACGCCACGCCCACACUUCAAGCGUUUUAUUAUUUUGCUCGGUCGUUGGGAGGAAAACAUGGAGGCCCGGAAAGCUGUUGUCGCGGUAGCAUUGGCAGAGGACCAGGCGCUCCCAAAUAAGUAGGCUAUAGUAGGCAGAGAUACGGACGCAGUAAGGUAUUGCAGUAAUACGAGUGAUUGAAAUUGCCAUUUAAACCACCAAAGUGGUCCAAGCACAAUGAAAACAGUUCAUACUUCAAGUCGCAAUGGGCGCAGACAUCUUGAAUUCUGUCUCGGAAUUUUGCUAGGUCACCACUGAGUUAAAGGCCCACUAUGCAACUUUUUUAGCCAAAAUUACAUUAAGUAUGCAGGUUGAGAGUUAUGCUGAUGGUUCUGCAUCCAUUUCUGGGUCGAUUGGUGGGUGUGUCAUUUACCCAUGUCGCCUCUCCAGUGAAAAAGCGCAUAUGCAACUUGAUCUGCUCGGACCGGGACAAUCCGGAUGUGACGCAACGGAAGUAUCCUCGAAAAUGUAGUCAGAUUGUAGUUUCGAAAAUGCUUUACGGCACAGACACACACCCAAACAUGGCACCGGCUAGAUAUAAACAGCCAGUUGCGAGGCAAUUGUUGCAUUCAUCAUGGAUCAAUCGACUAAUGGUACGGCCACACCAACCGCGUACGCGCCUAACCUGACGCUUGAUCAUUGUGUGUCACAAAAAUGGUUCAACGCGCCCAACGCGCCUGUGGCUGCGCUAGAGUCCGAGGUAGGAAACCCAAACGCCGCCGUGUUUGGGUGCAUGAUAGAGUUUAGAUCGGGUUAGAUUAAAUAAUCUCGGAUAUAAAUAACGAUCUCAUCUCAUCGUCAUCCGUUUAUCCGGGGUCGGGUCGCGGGGGGAGCAGCUCAAGCAGGGGGCUCCAGACUUCUCUUUCCCGGGCCACAUUGACCAGCUCUGACGGGGGGAUCCCGAGGCAUUCCCAGGCCAGUGUUGAGAUAUAAUCUCUCCACCUAGUCCUGGGUCUUCCCCGAGGUCUCCUCCCCACUGGAUGUGCCUGAAACGAACGCAAUACCGCCCCCGCUGCUCCGAUUCUCCGGCUAAUCUCACGCUCCAUAGUCUCCUCACUCGCGAACAAGACCCCGAGGUACUUGAACUCCUUCACUUGGGCUAAGGACUCAUAAAUAACGAUAAUCGGGUUAAAUAACUUCACAUGGUGUGUCUGGUGUGUUUCCAGCAUUCGUAGUGUUGAUCAGCAGAGAAAUAGUCCGCCAAGACGUUGAGGUUGCUUAGCAACCAGAGACUGUCCAUGCAAGUGAACGGAGCGUUCACUCUUCGUCAUAACUAUCAAACCAAACAUCCUUCACAUUCACCGAGCGAACAUUAUGAAAGUAAAAUGCACAUUUCUCGCUAAAAAUGUUUCCAUAAACGCAUUUAAUGGCAUAACUAUGUUACUAUUUCCACCCAGAAUAAAGAAAGAUGUCGGCCGUAUGCUUCUGUGCAAGGGUCACUACUCUCUGCCAGUGACUAACGAAUUGCUUUACGGCACAGACCCCCAAACACGGAACCGGCUCGAUAUAAACACAAGUCACUAAGGGAUUGUUAUAUUCAUCAUAGAUCAGCCGACUAAAAAGAGACAGAGAAACCCAAUGUCGGAGGAACAGAAGAAGAGAAAAGGGAGACUGACCGGCAGAGAGGCCAGACACGAGUAAACGUUGGGCAAGCUUUUCAGGAAUAGCGUGAACUGAAAGAAAAAGAAGACUGCAAAUCAGACGCCGACUCGGCCGUGUUGCUUUUGAAAUUGAAAGUACCCUUGGGUGGCCUUUGUCUUCGUGGUAUUCUUGAUGUUGAUAGUCUCUGUACAAAUGUGUUUGCUCAACCAUUUUGUUGUGAGCCCUGUAAAAAUUGUUUUCUCGACCGUUUUGUUGUGAGCCCUGUAUGUUUCUAGCUUGCUUGGUUGCAACCAUAUAAACACCUUUGUUUCCA